rnacentral:rRNA from 1 species
CUUGAACUUUAUAAGAGGUCCAGCCUGCCCAGUGACUCUGUUCAACGGCCGCGGUAUCCUAACCGUGCGAAGGUAGCGUAAUCACUUGUUCUUUAAAUGUGGACUAGUAUGAAUGGCACUACGAGGGUUAUACUGUCUCCUUUUUCUAAUCAGUGAAACUAAUUUUCCCGUGAAGAAGCGGGAAUACAACUAUAAGACGAGAAGACCCUAUGGAGCUUUAAACAACCUAGCAAUUACUUCUAAAAUUAUAAAUUUCAGAAUACUCAUUCUUUAAGCAAUAUGUCUGCAAGUUUUUGGUUGGGGUGACCAUGGAGAAUAACACAACCUCCAUAUUGAAUGAAUUUUUAUUCUAAGCUAAGAAUUACUAAUUAAAGCAUCAACACACUGACAUUAUUGACCCA